AAACUAAUCACCUCAUGUUACCAUCAUCAUAUGACGACCAAAGAACUUUUCUCUUUUUUUUAGUAUAAUUAUCUCUCCUGCACGCAACUGCCUGUCUCAUUCUUCAUUUUGAAUAACAAUUCUUGUGUGAUAAUGGGGGGAACGUUGUGUUGUUGUUGUCCGGGGUGUUGUUGUGCUAAAUCCGAUUGUUGUGGCUCAGGCAGUUCUGCUUCAACCUGUUGCGAUAUUCUCAAGGCCAUUAUCUUUCCUCCCUCCAAUUUCGAAAUUAGUAGCUCUCAGUUCUGGAUAUGCUUGCUUCUCACAGCACUUGGGUAUUUGCCAGGGAACAUAUAUUCCAUAUAUUACGUAAUAUAUCCAGAGAAAUGAUCUUAAUCUUAAGAGCAUGAUUGUGCUUGUUAAUGUUGGAUGUAUGAUUAAUGUUGUGGACUGAAUAAUUUAAUAAUCACAUGUUGUUAACGUGUGAAUGAUUUGUGA